CAUGUUGUUAAAUCCCGUAGCAACUCUCAGGUUCAAGGGCAAAGAGAGAAAAGAAUGCAAGAAAAUAGCAAGAAAUAGAUCAACAUGAAAAAGAAAGCACCAAUUUGGAAAGUGCUGUUGGAAUUUGACAGGAAUAACAGCCCACGGCCGCCCUCCCAGCAGCAGCUCAUUCACCUCUGGCAGCCACAUGUGGCCUUUCCACAGACAAAAAAAUACAGCGAAAACGUUCCUACCUUCCAUGAGGCCAAACCAGGGUUCCAUGGCUCUUCUCCAGGCUCUGAUAACAUCACCACUGCAAACACCGGAGAGAUCAUUCCAGACCUCAGGGACUACAGAUGCCACGUGGGAAGCGCCUGGGCAGCCGGCCGCACGCGAAACCUGGAUGUCUUCCUGCAAGCCCCUGGGAUAGCUGAAACCAGAGGGACAUUAAGCAGAAACCAUAAAGUCACAUUUCUGGAAUGCUUUAGUCAUCAAAGCUCUGUGCAAGUAAAUCUGCUGCACCUGGAGAAGAUGCACGGAGAUCUGACAGAGUGGGUAGCGGAGGAAUGCACUGUGGAGAGCCUGCAGGUCAUCCCCAGCACAGCCGGGACACCCAACCACACCUGUGUCUUACGCACGUCCACGAGAAGGCACUUCCAUAGAAGAUUUAUUUUCAGAAGCAAAGUGUUCCUGGCAGUGAUUUCAAAUCACACCGUAACAGCAACACCACCCAAGCAGAAAGCUUUUUCCAAUGGCUCAUCUACCCCACAUGUGCGCUCAGAGCAGCAGACUUCCCAAGUGUUCGUGCCCUGACUGGAUCGGCAGCAGAUGGAGCAGAAGCAAAUGCAUAUCUGCAGCCCCCACCCCAGUGGAUCACCAGUCAGGAACACUCUCAGCCCAGCUACCUGAGGACAGAAAGAAGUCAGUGCUAUGUUUUGCCUGACUCUCAGAAUCCCUUCCACAGAUCCUUACAUGAGAAGAUCCCAAAUUAUUGUCAUCCACAAAACCUACUUAAGAAAUGCUGCAGGCCUUAGAGAAACACUGUUUUUACAAACAAAAAAAAAAGCAUCAUCUUCCUCCUCACCACUUACUGGGAACAGCAGAUUGAACAUCAGCAGCUUAAAUAACCACAGCUUCAACCGCUGCAGACUGAAACCAGACCUAAUAUCAGAAGCAACAUUUACCUGGUUAGGAGCAAUCACAUCAAUUCACUGCGAAGCGAGGUGCUGUGAAGACACCCACAUGCUGAUUCCUUCCAUUAACUACCUGGAUUCAUGUUUUAAUUCCCAGAUACUAGAAAAACCUGUUGGCAUAAACAAUAAAUACUUCAUUG
ensembl:lncRNA